CUGAGAGAUCCUGUGUAUAUGAAUAUGAGGGAGGUGUCAAUUUCAGCAUUCUAGAUUUCACCAGCCAUUUACCAGCAGGACUGCAAGAAUCUUCUGCGAGUGGCUCAAGACUUAGCCCACCAAGGGUUAGUCGACUCUCACUAAAGAAUAGAUCAAAAAAGGAUUAAAGACGGGAUACAGCUGCAUAUUGGAUGAAAGGAGUUACGUUUAUUUUCUCAUUUUCCCUGUUGUGUUUUAUUAUUAUUUCUUCAUCAUUAUCAUCUUUUUACCUCUCCUUAAGGAAAAGCAUAAUGUGCCGUAUUGAUUUUUUUAGAUAUUAAUUCAUGAGGCACUUGAUCUGCCCUAGAGUUUUGCAUAAUUUCAUUCUACUGUAGAUUUGUUUUAAUUUUCACUCUUAAAGGAAAAGUUUUUGUUUGAGAGGAAUUCAUUCUUUUAACCCAAUGUUGGUAACAUGUAAUAUUCACUGUAGUUUUGUUUUGUGAACUGUUGACACAUAGAUGGCUCCACAAGUGCUCAGCCACCAAAGAGUUGAUUAGCCAUCUACAAGUCCUCACCUGAGAUACCUUUUUGUGUUUUGUGUAUUUUUUAUUUAUUUUUUUUCCACUUGAUAUCAGUGGUAUUAUUGUUAUUAGCAUUAUGGUUAUUAUAAUAUUAUUAAUGAAACUUAUUUUAAUAUAAGAUAGGAAAUAAUAUUUCUGAAAAUCAAAG